UCCUUCUUAGCUCAGUUGGUAGAGCGCGUCACUAGUAAUAUCUGGCAUGAUGACGAGGUCAGUCGUUCAAGUCGGCUAGAAGGAA